UACAGAGGUCCCAAGCGUUGUUCGGAUUCACUGGGCGUAAAGGGUGCGUAGGCGGUCGGGUAAGUCUGACGUGAAAUCUCCAAGCUCAACUUGGAAAUGGCGUCGGAUACUAUUCGGCUUGAGGAGUGGAGGGGAGACUGGAAUUCUCGGUGUAGCAGUGAAAUGCGUAGAUAUCGAGAGGAACACCAGUGGCGAAGGCGAGUCUCUGGACACUUCCUGACGCUGAGGCACGAAGGCCAGGGGAGCAAACGGG
rnacentral:rRNA from 1 species